GCCGCAGUAGCUCAGCCUGGGAGAGCGUUCGCCUGAAGAGCGAUAUGCCGGGUGUUCAAAUCACCCCUGCGGCA
rnacentral:tRNA from 1 species